GCGAGAGUGGUGGAACUGGUAUACACGUACGGCUUAGGACCGUAUGCCUUCGGCAUGGGGGUUCAAGUCCCCCCUCUCGCA
rnacentral:tRNA from 1 species